rnacentral:ncRNA from 1 species
AGGGCUAGAAGAGGAGCGUCAUUCAGGUAGUUAUGGGAAGGAGAGCAAACUCCAAAGCACCAUAACGAGGGGAAUGUACGCCGAGAGACCUGUAAAGUUUGCUACUUACUGUCUCGGGCGCAUGGGUUGAAUCCCAGCGACUGUCACCAUUAGCGCUUAGCGCUAUGUUUUUGGUGGAGAGCUUCUGGUCUU